GCAAACAAUUCCCAUGACAUAAAGAAAAUGACUUAGAAAUCAUAUUGAAAGCAAGAUAUUAGCUUUUGAUUGAAAGCCCCCAUUUAAAAGCAUGCAUGUUCAUAAAACUACACCCAUGAGAUUUUUUGGAUAGCCCCACGUACCUCUAUUUCCAAGGAUAAUAGAUGUUUCUUGAAGCUUGCGGAUUGGUGAUUCCAAAUAUGUAAU
rnacentral:lncRNA from 1 species